UUUGAGCUUGCAGGGCAAUUCAACAUCGAAUGCAGAUCAGUCUAGGGUCCCGGAGUCUGGUUUUCGAGGUUUCAACUUAAGCGGCCCUUCAACAUCAACGGCAAAUCAGUUUCGUGCCCAGGAACCUGGUUUUGGAAAUUUGAGCUCACAAGGCAAUUCAACACCGGAUGCAGAUCAGUCCAGGGCCCCGCAGCAUGGUUUUGGAAGUUUGAGCUCACAAGGCAAUUCAACACUGGAUGCAGAUCAGUCCAGGGCCCCGCAGCAUGGUAAGUGUUUUAUUUAAAAUAAAUUUUUCUUCAAUUCAAGCAAUUAUUUUAUGAGGUACAUAAGAAUCAUUUGAAGCAACCGCU
rnacentral:lncRNA from 1 species